rnacentral:rRNA from 1 species
UGCCAGCCGCCGCGGUAAUACGGAGGGGGUUAGCGUUGUUCGGAAUUACUGGGCGUAAAGCGCGCGUAGGCGGAUUGGAAAGUAUGGGGUGAAAUCCCGGGGCUCAACCUCGGAACUGCCUCAUAAACUAUCAGUCUAGAGUUCGAGAGAGGUGAGUGGAAUUCCGAGUGUAGAGGUGAAAUUCGUAGAUAUUCGGAGGAACACCAGUGGCGAAGGCGGCUCACUGGCUCGAUACUGACGCUGAGGUGCGAAAGUGUGGGGAGCAAACAGGAUUAGAUA